GUGCAGCAGGCGCGAAACCUCCGCAAUGCGCGACAGCGUGACGGGGUCAUCCCGAGUGCCGUCCGCUGAGGACGGCUUUUCCCUAGUGUAAGGGACUGGGGGAAUAAGGGGAGGGCAAGUCUGGUGUCAGCCGCCGCGGUAAUACCAGCUCCCCGAGUGGUGGGGAUGAUUACUGGGCCUAAAGCGUUCGUAGCCGGCUUGGCAAGUCUUCCGUUAAAUCUGGCGAUUUAAUCGCUAGACUGCGGGAGAUACUAUCAAGCUAGGGGGCGGGAGAGGCCAGCGGUAGUUCCGGGGUAGGGGUGAAAUCCUAUAAUCCCGGGAGGACCACCAGUGGCGAAGGCGGCUGGCCAGAACGCGCCCGACGGUGAGGGACGAAAGCUGGGGGAGCGAACCGGAUUAGAUACCCGGGUAGUCC
rnacentral:rRNA from 1 species